GGUAUAUUGGCCACACACGUGGCCUUCAGCCAUUUCUAUCCCCCUCUCACAGAAAGGUCCCUUUUCAAAAAAUGCCCCCCCCCCACGGGAAAAUCCUUAAAAAAGGCCCUGCGGCUCUUAGCCAAUCAGCGUUCUGAAUUUACAAAUGCUAUAUUAUAAUUAAAGUGUGAUGAAAGAACUCUUUAAGUUGUAGUGCAACUUAUUUUUCAGUUUCUU